rnacentral:lncRNA from 1 species
UCACAUUUUUCUACAUAAGGUUUCAUGCUGUGUUAUACACUGUUCAUCACAUUUUCCGUAUUUUAUUUGCUGUGAGAUAUCUGAAAUUCUUUGUCUUAUCUGAUCUAUGAUUUAAGAUUCUGACCUUUUCAUCUCUCUGUAAUUUCACUGCCAGCUCACUCAAUAUGCCUUUGUUUAUAGCCUUACAGCAGGGAGACCAAGAUAAGACGGGAGUUGCUGAUGCACUGGAAAGACAGAAAUUUCCAUUUGCUAAAAAUUUGCGUGUGAAAGAGGGAAGUAGAGAUAUAACUUCAAAAGUUUUUGUAUAAAGGGGAAAUACAGAUGAGAAAGUGGAUUCAACACCCUUUCAAGCAGGACGUUCUGCUAAAAGAACGAAUGCAAAAGCAAUACCUUUCUGUUAAUGGCGACCUGUGUGAAAAGCAAUUUCAACACUAAUAAAACCUGAUUUUUCAGCUCCAUGGUGAGAGCAGCAGAAUGGCAGCACACAUCCCAGCACUUUCAUCAGAAUGGUUGGGAAGGCAAAUGAAGCUUUUAUAUCUGCUACUGGGAUGUUAUAUCAGCUUGCCUCGAGUUCUGCUUCCCCGCUGCCUAGGCAGGUUGCAGAAUGAGCUCUAGGGAUGCUAAUUUGUGCUGGAGAAUAGCUGCUAAAUUAUUCAGGGUACUAAAGACAAGGGCUGAGUGUGAAUAGCAGAAGACCCUGAUGACAUAGAGUGACGGCAAUAAAAUGACAGAUGAAAUUCAGCGUAGAUAAAUUUAAAGUGAGGCACCUGGGGGAAAAAAACCAAUUUUGACUUCUCAUACACUGUACUGAGUUCUGAGUUGACUACUGAUACUUGGAAACGAGAUCUUGCUGUUGGAAUAUAUAAUUUUAUGGACAUGUCAGAUUUGUGCUCAGAACUACUCUGAAAAAUCCAAAACUGAAUUCAAGGAAAUAUUAUGAAAAUAAAAGUAAACAACACGUAAAACACCACUCAUAUUCACCUCAUAUGAAUCUUUGGUGUAUUUAGUACUGUGGGCAGCUGUAGUCACUCCAUCUCCAAAGAAAGAUGUAGCAGAACAAGAAAUGCAGCAGGCAAACUCAACCAGGAUAGUAAAAGACAUGGAGACUUACUGAACAGUCUUAUGCUCUUGCACCUUCUAUGGAAAGAGAGGAGAGAGAUACAAAGAAUCACAAAAUCAGGAGCUGCAAGAAGAUGAGUAGGGACUUGUUACUCAGCAUAUCUCCAAAUUUAACAACUAGGUAUGCUUCAAUGAACCUAGAAGGUGUCCAACUUGAAGCAAUCAAAAAGUGCUAGUUUCCUGUUGUAUUCAUGAAACUUUCACCAUAGUUAAGCUAAACAGUACUAGAAGUUAACUUUUAAAUCCAAGGAGCAACUGAGUAAAUUCAAAGAAGAUAAAAAGUCCAUGAAAAGCCCUUUAAAUUCCAAGAUGCUAAAUUUGGUCAAGAAGUUCUUGACCUAAAAAUGAUUGGCAGCUAGGAAACAGAUUGUCAUAUAUAUAAAUACAUACAUGCAUAUAUAUAUAUAUUUAGACAAACAUGCUUUCCUGCAUAUAUACAUAUAUAUACACACAUAUAUUUACAAGAAGCCAUUCAGGCCUCUAUCAGAGAGGAUGUGGGUCUCCUUGGCCAUAGUUGAACUCUUCCAGAAACUGUUUUUAAAGUAAAUAUUUAUUGUUUUGGUCAUGGGAUGAUAUUGGCAGAGGCAGAUGAGCCAGGCAGAUUUCUCAGUUACAGAAGUCACUGUAGGCUUCAGUUCAUCCGGUGAUCACGGUAUCAUAGCAGAUAAAUUAGAGCCUACAGAUACAAUUAAUCUGCUUUAGAUUUCUUUAGUUUACCUUCCUUUGCAGUAUACAGAAAUAAAAAGAGAGACUAGUAUGUCUAGGUUUAAGCAGAUGUUUCAGGAGAUGAAUCAGCCUGUAGUAGUGCCUAUAUUUCCCAAGUCUGGGACAAUUAUGAGUGAACUAGAGAGCAUAUUUUGCCCGGGAGUACCAGAAAUACAUAUUUACUACAUAUUAAUUCCUUCAGAUAGUUAUUCUAUUUUGUGAUUUAUUUAAAUAGAUUUAGAUGUAGCAUAAACAAUGUUGACUGAUAAAUCCUGGUUGGAGUUCAUAAAUAAAGAUGCAUCUUUGAAACAAAAUCUGGCAAAGACAAGCCUGUCUCAGACAUAGGCAAAGUUUAAAUUCAGCUCAUGUUCUGCUGAGCUAGCUGCCCAGUUGAUCCAAGUAGAAGAUGAAACAUCCUGUGAUUGUUUAUCUAAACCUUACGUAAACUGUAAUUAAUUUAUUUGCCACUUAAUUCUCAUAAACACAAAGCUGAGUAAAUUUAGGGUUGUGCAAUUUAGAUGGUCAAUGAUGAAUCCACAACCCAAAGUCUUGGUCACCAUAUGACUCACUACUGGGGUAGUAGGGUGGCCGUAGCUCCCAUACAAUCCAUCUGUUCAUGUCUCCUUUGCAUGGAGAGCAGCAGGCUUGGAGCAGGCAAGGGUUAUCUUCCAGAUCAUGGAUAGCCACAGAAACAAAGUGCUUGUGUAAACACAUCAGAAGUCAAAGAAGGCCUUACAUAAUAAACCCCCUCAAAACCAGAGAAGAUACAUAGCUGGGCUCUCUCUGUCUUCAAAUCCAAAGCACGUGUGCCCAGCAUGUAGGGAUCAAUCCAAGUAAGUGGCCAGCAGUGGCAUUUUGACAGAUAUCAGGUGUUUGCAUACAUGGGAUGCAGGCACAAGCACACAAACACCCCGCACACAUACAUCCCAGUGCUCCCUGGGACCAUACCUGGGCUGUGCAGCAUUUAAGUCUUCCCAAACAUUCAUGCUGUAUUGGCAGUGUUUAUUUUGCUGAAGUUCAACAAGGCCAGGUGUAAGGUUCUGCACCUGGAUUGGAGCAAUCCCAAGCACAAAUACAGGUUGGGCAGAGAAUGGAUGAGAACAAGCCCUGAGGAGAAGGACUUGGAGGUGGCUGGUGGAUGAGAAGCUAAACAUGAGCCAGCAAUGUGCUUACAAAGAAUAUCCAUAUCCUGAGCUGAAUCAAAGCAGUGUGGCCAGCAGGAUGUGAUUCUGCCUCUCUACUCCACUCUAAUGUGAUCCUACCUGGAGAGUUGCAUCCAGUUCUGGGGUCCCCAACAUAAGAAGGAUGUGGACCUGCUGAAGCAGAUCCAGAGGAAGGCACAGCUUAAGCAGAUUUUUCUGAAGGUUUUCACAUCCUUGUUUGCCCUUUGCAGUGGCUGUCUCUUUGGGUAUCAUGCUCACAAGCUGCCCCAUCCCCCCCUCCCCCUCUUAUUUCCUAUUUCUUUGCUACCUCACUCAUUACAGUGACUUUUGUCAUCACCUUUGUACAGAGGGUCCCCAGAUCUUCUCUCAGUCCUUAAAUCUCCCCCUCUGAUCUUUGUUGCAUCCUCAAAUGUUUCUAGACCUAUCCACUUGGAAGCUUAAUUCCAUUUCAAGCAAAGUCUUUUCGAAAGUGAAUGCUGCCCCAUCAUUCUCUGGCACAGUUGACUUCUCAAAAAUAUACUUCUCAAAUAUACUUCUCAAAAGUAUAUUUGGGGAUUGUUUCCCCUUCUAUGAACAGAGAUGGAAAAGACACAUUUCUGGGAUGAGACUCUUCUUAACUAUCAUAAAUGUCCAAAGCAGGCCGGAUGCUCAUGCCUGCUAAAAGUACAUUUGCCCCCAUCACCCAUAGGGUAAUCCCCAGGGGUUGCCUGAGGACACUGGCUGCCAGCUGACCUUUACUUAUGUGAAAGGAGUCUCAUUCAAUGUGUGUCACAAUGAAAUGGUGAGCUUCUUACCCAGUGGAAAAAUUCCUGCAGCAGCUUCCAUGUCUGAGAAGGGCAGUCCUUAUGUCCUCUCACUGCUACACAUUUACAUCACUCUAGGCUCUUACAGGAUGGUGAGAUUUAUAGGUCAUUGACUUAUCUCCAUAUUAUCUAAUCUCACUUGCUCAUGCUCUGAAUUUUAUUCAGAAUGUGAGCAGCAUACUCACAAAUUUCUUAGCAAAUGUUGAAAGGUGUCUCAUCUUGGGUAGCAUCUAGAGGUAAAACAGAAAUAAAUGUGAACGAAAUCUUAAAAACCCCAGCCUUUCUCCAGUCAUAUGUAAUACUGCCCAGCAAUGCUGAGUCUUACUCUUGCUUUUAACUGUGACAUAAACUGCACAUAACAACACAAUAUUCUGGUGUACUUCUUGAAAUCUAACCAUGUAUGUGGCAAAAAAAUUAUCUGUCUCCUGGUGGCAAAAUCAAUUUCUCCUUUGGCUAUAUAGUAGUAUUUAUCAGCAAUACAGAUAUUUAUUUCACUUAUCAUCUUGCUGCUCCUGCUUUAUAACUGCAUUUACUAAAGUGCAAGACACAGAAACACAGCAACAUUCAUUUUCUCUCACACUACCCUGCAGCACAUGUAAUUUUGUGCUCAGAAUUGGUGCAGAUGAUGGACUUUUAGUUUGCAGGUCACUUGUCUCAAGUGAAACCCCCAAAUGCUACAAAUCCUGCAAGAGAAGUUUAGGCUUCUAACCAUACCUCUCAAGGAGAGACACUGUUAGUUGGAGAUCUGCAAGUAUCUGAGACAUCUGCACUGGGUUUGCAUAUAUAACAAAGCCUCUAUUCUGACAUCUGUAUCCUUCUGGAGCAAUAGCUGAAGGUCAGAUGGACAACUCCAGGGCACCAUAAGCAGCACUGGAUUAUUCUGUUUAGCAGCCUGUAUUGCUCCUCAGUAGUAUGAAAUCCCCAUGCCAUCUUGCCUUCCCUGUCAGGAUCCAGCCUUUGGGUCCACUCAGACAGUGGCUUCUGGGAGUCUGGUUUCAAACAAUAGUGUGGGUUUAUGGAGGCUGGCAUCUGUCUCCCAGGAACUAAGUUAGUUUCACAUCAAGAACCAAGAAAGCAGUGAGAUAGCACCACCACAAUUUAGAGAAAUCGGGAGAUUACAAAGCCAUCCAACUCUUUUGUUUCCUCAAAGUGAUACGAGUGGCAGGAAAAUGGAUAGUUGCAGUAGGGAUUUAAUUGGUGACAUGGAAAGGGGCUGCAAAACACUAUCUAACACAGUCCUGUUGCAAGGCAUAUGUAUAAUUGUACGUUAUUUUUUCCUAAUUAUUAGUUCAUAGCCUUUCCCUCAUCCACUGUGUGGGUCACUUUUUCAUAAAAGGAGAUCAGGUUGGUCAGACAGGACCUGCCUUUCACAAACCUGUGCUGGCUGGGCCACAUGCCUUGGUUGUCCUGUACAUGCUGUAAAAUAGCACUGGAGCUGAUGUGCACCUUGACCUUCCCUGGCACUGAGGUCAGGCUGACAGGCCUAUAGAUCCCUUUUCCAGCUCUCCUUGUAGACAGAUGUCACAGUUGUCAACCUCCAGUCAACUAGGACCUCCCUGGUUUGUCAGGACUGCAGAUAAAUGAUGGAAAGUGGCUCAGUGAGUCCUUCUGCCAGCUCCCUCAGUACAUUCAGGUGAAUCCCACCCAGCCCCACAGACUUCUGUGUAUCUGAGAGUGUAGCAGGCUGCUGAUCAUUUUCCCUUGGAUUAUGGGGGCAACCUUCUGUUCCUGGUCCCUGCCUCCCAGGUCAGGGGGCUGGAUAUCCUGAAAACAACUGUUCUUAAGUACCUCAGCCUUUUCCUCAUUCUUCGUCACUGUUUUCACCCACAUCCAAUAAAGGAUGGAGAUUCUCCUUAGCCUUCCUUUUACUGAUGAUGUACUUAGAGAAACAUUUUUAUUGUAUUUUAUGGCAGUAGCCAGAUUUGGUUGUAGCUAGGCUCUCACCCUUCUAAUUUUCUCCCUGUGUAACCUCACAAUGUCCUUAUAGUCCUCCUGAGUAAUCUGCUUUUUUUUCUAAAACUUCUCUAUUUUUCCCCAAGUUCCAGUCAAAGCUCUCUGUUAAAAUAGGCUGGGGUUCUUCCCUGCUGAGUCAUCUUUCAGAAUAUGGGGAAAGUCUGCUCCUGUGCCUUUAGAACAUCCUUCUUGAAGAAUGUCCAACCUUCCUGUACUCCUUUGCCUUUCAGGACUGUUUCACAAGGGACUUUGUCAACCAGGCUCCAAAACAGCCCAAAGUCUGCCCUCCGGACCCAAGGUAACAGUUCUGUUGACUCACAUCUUACUUCUUCAAGAAUUGAAAACUAUCAUUUCAUGAUCGUUAUGCCCAAGACAGUCUCCAGCCACCACGUCACCCACCAGUCCUUCUAUGCUCACACACAGCACCUCCAGCGAGGCCCUGCCUGGGCCGCUCACCAGCCAUAUCAGGAAGUUCUCUUCCACAUGCUCCAGGAAGAGAACGCUUCCAUGCUGCCUCUCCACUGUAUUGUAUUUACAGAAGAUCUCUGGUAAGCUCAAGUCCCCCAUAAGAGCAAAUGCUAACAUUUGCGAGUCUUCCCCCAGCUGCUUAUGGAAUAUUUUAUCUGCCUCUUCAGCCUGGUUGUCUGGUUUGUAACAGACCCUCACCAAGGUAUUGUUGGCCUUUCCCAACAUGAAUGUUUAUGAUUCUUAAUCAUAAACAUUCUUUUCAUCACUGUCAGCAAACUCUGGAGAGUCAGAACACUCCCUACCAUACAGGGCUACCCUAAAGCUUUCAUAUAGGUAGACUUCAAGAGCAAACCAGCAGUACAAGACUAACAGUGCAGCAACAGACUACAGCUUCUCAUUAUUCCCCACAGAGCUCAGGGGAUUAUCCUGACAGUUUGGACUGAUCCUCAGUGCUGUUGGAGCAGAAACAAAGUCCAGUUGGAAGCAAAAGAUUUGGUAUUGGGCCCUUAUAUAAUUAAAUAAUAAAUUAUAGCAAUAUGAUUUUCCUCCAUGUACAUUUUGUUAAAAACACACAGUAGAUUUUUACUAUGACAUGAAACAUUUUCAGUAAUUUUUAUGGCUAUGUAGAUAAGAUAGAAUCUUUAGUGUUUCAAAAACACAGUCAAUGUUUAUUUGUUCUCAUAAGUAAUUCAUGGACCCAACAAUAUUCAACAAAACUUCAUUUUUAACAGAUUCUUAAUGAGCAUCAUUUUACAGAAAAUCACCAACAAAUAAAUAUAUGAAAACAAUUGCUUUUGACAUCACAAUGGUUAAACACAUUAAAUAAUUCAUUAAAUUGUGCUUUAUGCCAAUGAAAAUCCCUAGGUCUACAAACUAUCUUUUAAAUAGGAAUGGAAGUAUAUAUGAUUACUCACAAUACAAUCUCUCAGUAGCAGAAUUCACAAACAUUAUUGCACAUAAACAGAAGGAAAGUUCCUAAAGAAUAAAGUAAUUUACAACCUAUAAAUUUAUUCUUUCAUCUUAAAUAUGGAAAUGAUGGGAAAUCUUUUUUUUUUUUCUUCUCUUCCAACAUUUAUUUGAAAUCACAGAGCAAGUGAUAUGACAAGAGGAAAGCCAAGGACACUGCAGGCAUGGAACCCAUUCCCUCCACAAAAUGUAGACAAAGAAAGUAUUACAGGAACCAAACUGAAAGAAGUGUUACAGUGAAAACUGGGUACCUUUUUCGAGUGUGCUUUUUUUUCCCCUGCACAUCCAGAGGAUAUUGCCAUCAACUCCAGCUGAAUGACUUUAUUGUGAUUGUUCAUCUUGUACAAGAUAAUAAUCCUUAUCCCAGACCAAAAAAAAAAAAAAAAAAA